UGACGGAGCGGCGAACGGGUGAGUAACACGUGGGCAACCUGCCCCUAGCUCUGGGAUAAGCCCGGGAAACCGGGUCUAAUACCGGAUAUGAGUUCGGAAGGCAUCUUCUGACCUGGAAAGUUUUUCGGCUAGGGAUGGGCCCGCGGCCUAUCAGCUUGUUGGUGAGGUAACGGCCCACCAAGGCGACGACGGGUAGCCGGCCUGAGAGGGCGACCGGCCACACUGGGACUGAGACACGGCCCAG
rnacentral:rRNA from 1 species